AUUGAACGCUGGCGGCAUGCCUUACACAUGCAAGUCGAACGGCAGCACGGGGCAACCUGGUGGCGAGUGGCGAACGGGUGAGUAAUGCAUCGGAACGUACCUUUCAGUGGGGGAUAACGUAGCGAAAGUUACGCUAAUACCGCAUAUUCUGUGAGCAGGAAAGCAGGGCAUCGCAAGACCUCGCGCUGAUUGAGCGGCCGAUGUCAGAUUAGCUAGUUGGUGAGGUAAAGGCUCACCAAGGCGACGAUCUGUAGCGGGUCUGAGAGGAUGAUCCGCCACACGGGAACGGGGACCCGGUCCAGACCCCUACGGGAGGCAGCAGUGGGGAAUUUUGGACAAUGGGGGCAACCCUGAUCCAGCCAUGCCGCGUGAGUGAAGAAGGCCUUCGGGUUGUAAAGCUCUUUCGGCCGGGAAGAAAUCGCACGGGCUAAUACCCUGUGUGGAUGACGGUACCGGAAUAAGAAGCACCGGCUAACUACGUGCCAGCCGCCGCCGUAAGAC
rnacentral:rRNA from 1 species